rnacentral:rRNA from 1 species
GACGAGCCACACAAACGUUAUUCGGAAUUACUGGGCUUAAAGGGUGCGUAGGCGGUGCGGAAAGUUGGGUGUGAAAUCCCUCAGCUUAACUGAGGAACGGCGCCCAAUACUACCGUGCUAGAGGGAGAUAGAGGAAUGCGGAACUUAGGGUGGAGCGGUGAAAUGCGUUGAUAUCCUAGGGAACACCGGUGGCGAAAGCGGCAUUCUGGAUCUCUUCUGACGCUGAGGCACGAAAGCUAGGGUAGCAAACGGG